UUCUUCCUACAGAAACGAUGACUAUGAAUUAAAGAACUGCUUGACCCAAGGCACAGUAGGACAACAUCUAACAAAGAUCUUAAGUAACUUUUUCCAUCCAGCAACACCCGGAUGACUCCAGUGACCAAAUGCUCAGCUGUAAACAGCAAUAACUGGCCAUCUUUGCUAUUUGGAUUUGGUGAACCUGAAUAGUCCAGCCACUUUCUUCGGGUGGCCCAUGGUGUUGAACUACAGGGGAAGCUUGUCUCUCAUUGCCAAGAACCAAGAUUGGACUAUGGAAGAAAGCGAGUUGACAUAGUGAGAGUCCCAAGAGUGUCAGGACUCUUAGUGAUUGAUAUAAAGCCCUUGGUGAUGGAAACAUAGCACCUGCUGUGGCAGUGGUCACUCCGACAUGAUUAUUUGCUUGAAUGCCCUGGAAGGAUAAAAUAUUUAAAAAUAUAUCCAGGUGCUAGCAGCAGAUCUCAAUUCAAACUCCACUACCUACCCUAGCUAACAACUGUCUUUGGAGACUAACUUUACCUUAAGGAGUACUCCAGCUUUGCAAAGAAUAGCCCCCAGAGAAUAAUAGGAUAAGCAGGCCACUCCCCUGGAGAAAAAUCUAGUGUAAAGAGGGUUAGUUUGCAGAAAAUUCACUGCCUCCUCCCAUGUACAUGGCAGACUACCAGUUGAUCGUGGCCCUCUUUUAUGCCAAAACUGGAUUGUGAGUUUUGAGAUUCUACAACAUUAUUUUUAAGUAACCAAGUCACUUCCUUUCAAUUGGUAGUGUUAUUAGAAUCAAAUUGAAUUGUCAUCUCUAUUAGAGAGGUAUACCUCUCAGGUCAUAUGCAUUCUGGAAUAUCUUUUCCCAGGCACAUUUGUCCAGUGAGGGAACAGCCUCAGAAGUAGGUAGAGCAUUGUGUGAAAUAAGAUCAUGGAGAUCACACAGUGGUUCCCUGGGGGAAGGCACAGCUUUGGGCCUCCUUGGCCUGAGUGCCUUCUGGGGUAUCUCCAUAUGCAGAAGCUCAGAGCCUAGCCUUGGACAGCCACAGACACAGGUUUUCUUCUCACUUCAGACACAUAUCAUUUCCAUAGCACUUGGGAGUGAAGGUCAGGGCUCUCCCCGGGUAACUCUUCCAUUAUUCAGCUUCCCUUUUGCCAAUCUGCUACCAGCUAUGCGCCCCAUCAUUAUUGCUUCUGCCUCCACAGAAAUGAAACCAAAGGCCUCAGCAUACCCUGACAGGACCAGGGGGCUGUUACCUAGUGGUCCUCUCUCUCCCAUUAUGGGUACAAGGCACCCUAUCCAUGCAUUUGCACCAUGACUUCAAGAUAACAUCUCCCUUUUCAUACAGUCUCUUUGCAGCAGAUUCCAGAAUUGGAUUGUAGUUUAUCUUACUGGAAAAUGCAUUAUCUUCAUUUCAAUUAACAUUUUGAUGUGGGACCAGCUGGACAGAAGCAGAAUCAUUGCAUAUCCUCAGAAAUUCUUAUUACCUUGGCUGCCUGGUACAAGAUGUCAGAUGUAUCCUGAUAUCAAAUCAAAAAAUGGUGGAGGCCUUUGGUGUGUGAGGCAGUAUUAAUACACUCAAGCUUCAUGCAUUCCCCAACCUGCCUAAUUCAUUUCCAUAUCAUUAUCUUUCAACCUUGGGAUUCAAAGGGAAUCCCGGUCCUGCCUAUGUCUAAAGACAUGAGAAAAAUUCAUCUCUCUUUGCCCAAGGUUCUCCUCAGCUCAUCCCUCCCACCUUAGCAUCUUCCACCAUAGCAGUGUUUAGAACCAAAGCACGAAGGGCUAGUGCCAGCAAGAGAGUGCACAGAAAUAUUGUCAAUAGAUCCAGGCAGAAGAGCCCAAAGGUAUGAUCCCAAAGAAACCAGACUGUCUCCAGUAGCUGUCAGUGGUCAUCCCAUUCCACUUUGGCAUGCCCUUGGCAAUGGGAGCCUGGGUUGGAGAGCCAGUUGUGCCUAUUGUUUCCACCUCAGCAUCUUCCUGCCCAGAGCUAGCAGCCCUGAGGCCCUAAUGAGUAUGCUACUGGCUUGUUGGUAUGAAACAUGGUGGCUUUGUAGGGGCAAUCAGGCAAAUGUGACUACCCACAUGGUAGGUAUUUUGUGUCUGGAAAGCUCUGCCCAGCCAGUACAGCUGUGGCCAGAGUCUGGUUAUAAAUUUGAACUCCUUCAGCCCAUUUGCAACUCUGCCUCUGUUCUCUUGCAUUCUGUUUGGUUACCCUUUAGUUUCCUAGUAAAUGUUCCUUUUGAAAAACUCAAACCUUGUCUCAUUGAACUUGUGGGAAGGGGAUUCUUCAGUAUCUUUUUCAGGGUAGAGAAGGACACUAAAUACCUUGGGGAAAAGUGGAAAUAGUAGUAGAAAGAGAAACAACUAAUCAUGUCUCAGGGAGGGACCUUGGGAAGGAUUGGUGCCAGGAGAAAGGAAGAAACCAGUUGUCCUCUCACCUUCCUGG
rnacentral:lncRNA from 1 species